AUUGAACGCUGGCGGCAGGCCUAACACAUGCAAGUCGAGCGGAGCGGCGGACGGGUGAGUAAUGCCUAGGACUCUGAAUGGUAGUGGGGGAUAACGUCAGGAAACGGGAGCUAAUAACGCAUACUAUCAGAGGAGACUAGGUCGGAUUAGCUAGUGGGAGGGGUAAAGGCCUACAAAGGCGAAGAUCAGUAACUGUUCUGAGAGGAUGAUCAGUCACACUGGAACUGAGACACGGUCCAGACUCCUACGGGAGGCAGCAGUGGGGAAUAUUGCACAAUGGGCGAAAGCCUGAUCCAGCCAUGCCGCGUGUGUGAAGAAGGUCUUCGGAUUGUAAAGCACUUUAAGUUGGGAGGCGUUACCAACAGAAUAAGCACCGGCUAACUUCGUGCCAGCAGCCGCGGUAAUAC
rnacentral:rRNA from 1 species